rnacentral:rRNA from 1 species
UAGGGAAUCUUCGGCAAUGGACGAAAGUCUGACCGAGCAACGCCGCGUGAGUGAAGAAGGUUUUCGGAUCGUAAAACUCUGUUGUUAGAGAAGAACAAGGACGUUAGUAACUGAACGUCCCCUGACGGUAUCUAACCAGAAAGCCACGGCUAACUACGUGCCAGCAGCCGCGGUAAUACGUAGGUGGCAAGCGUUGUCCGGAUUUAUUGGGCGUAAAGCGAGCGCAGGCGGUUUCUUAAGUCUGAUGUGAAAGCCCCCGGCUCAACCGGGGAGGGUCAUUGGAAACUGGGAGACUUGAGUGCAGAAGAGGGGCGUGGAAUUCCAUGUGUAGCGGUGAAAUGCGUAGAUAUAUGGAGGAACACCAGUGGCGAAGGCGGCUCUCUGGUCUGUAACUGACGCUGAGGCUCGAAAGCGUGGGGAGCAAACAGG